rnacentral:rRNA from 1 species
CAGUCGCCGCGGGAAAACAGAGGGUGCAAGCGUUAAUCGGAAUUACUGGGCGUAAAGCGCGCGUAGGUGGUUUGUUAAGUUGGAUGUGAAAUCCCCGGGCUCAACCUGGGAACUGCAUCCAAAACUGGCAGGCUAGAGUAGGGCAGAGGGUGGUGGAAUUUCCUGUGUAGCGGUGAAAUGCGUAGAUAUAGGAAGGAACACCAGUGGCGAAGGCGACCACCUGGGCUCAUACUGACACUGAGGUGCGAAAGCGUGGGGAGCAAACAGGAUUAGAUACCCGCGUAGUCCCUGUCUCUUAUAC